rnacentral:rRNA from 1 species
AUUGAACGCUGGCGGCAGGCCUAACACAUGCAAGUCGAACGGUAACAGGAAGCAGCUUGCUGCUUUGCUGACGAGUGGCGGACGGGUGAGUAAUGUCUGGGAAACUGCCUGAUGGAGGGGGAUAACUACUGGAAACGGUAGCUAAUACCGCAUAACGUCGCAAGACCAAAGAGGGGGACCUUAGGGCCUCUUGCCAUCGGAUGUGCCCAGAUGGGAUUAGCUAGUAGGUGGGGUAACGGCUCACCUAGGCGACGAUCCCUAGCUGGUCUGAGAGGAUGACCAGCCACACUGGAACUGAGACGCGGUCCAGACUCCUACGGGAGGCAGCAGUGGAGAAUAUUGCACAAUGGGCGCAAGCCUGAUGCAGCCAUGCCGCGUGUAUGAAGAAGGCCUUCGGGUUGUAAAGUACUUUCAGCGGGGAGGAAGGGAGUAAAGUUAAUACCUUUGCUCAUUGACGUUACCCGCAGAAGAAGCACCGGCUAACUCCGU